ensembl:lincRNA
GAAUUGACCUGGUUGUUAACCUAACUGGAUGAUUUGAUAGAGGCAAGAUAGAACAAUUGAGAUUUCUGACAAAGUUGUCAGGGAAAUAUAAUUGUAAAAUUGAAGAAUGGAACAGGAGCAGAUGGCAAUAAAUACCCAUGCUGAAGCAAUGAAAAUGACAGUUGGAAACCUUGAGAAUUCUGAAUUAAAUGUUUGGAGGAAGAUUGUCAAGAGAAAAAAGUUAUAUGUAUAAAAUAUACAGUAGAAUUGGAAGAUGGAUCUAAUGAGAAUAACACUAAGGAAACACCAUCCUUCAAAAACUAAAAGCUCCUUGAUGAGACAAGAAAAUGAAGUGUCCCAGAAGAGGAAAUGCAGUAAAUGUGCUGGGGAUAAAAAGAAGGUUAGAAAGCAAACAAUUUCAGAAGGGAAGAAAUGACCUCUAAAAGGGAAGCUGGGAUGAUAGCAAAGGCAAUGUCAACGUCCUCACAAUUUCACUUAGAUUUUCCUGGCUACUCUGCAGAAGGCAUGAUAAGAUAAAUGCUUAUUGAUUUCAAGAUCAAGGCAACAGGAUCCUUUCUGUUUAAUUAUUUCUUUGUAAGUUAAAAACUAAAUGCUUUGGCAAAUGCUGUAAAUACAAAGGGCAGGGGUAUUCAGUGCCCUUAGAAUCAAUGGCAAGUUCAAGCUGUGUGUGACAAGGGAUAACCAUUAUUCAUCCAUUCAUUCUAACAAAGUCUGUAAAUGACUACCAUGCAUUAGGUGGUGGUCUGGUCACUGAAAUAUCAGAGAUAGGUAAAGCUCAGUCUCUGUUCUUAAGGACCUCAGGGUCUAGAAGAAGAAAAAGACAUAAAAGUAAGUACAAUAGGAAUAUAAACAAGAACCAAAGGCAGCUCAGGGGAAGUGAGUAACUCUUAGAGGAAAAUAUUGAAUAAAGGAUUUCUGGAAUGAGAGGAUGUUUGAACUGAAUUCUGAAGAUGAAUAAAAGUCCUUCUGGAGAAAUAAAAACACCAUUUUGGCAGAAAUAAUAGUAUUUGUGAAUACAUUUAGAACAAAGCAUGGAAACUAUGUUUAGGAUAUUGUCAUAAGCUUGAUAUCUUUAGAGCAUUUUGUGUAAGUGGUGAGGGGAGAAAAUGGGAGGAGAUAAAAAAUGUAGGGUAGGGUAGAUUAUGAAUGGAUAGAAAUGUCUCUUAAAGCAUCUGAACUAUACCCAAAUGCCUAGGAGGAGAAAGUGAAGCAUUCAAAGCAGAAGAAACCAGGAAUGGGUUUGCCAGCAGCGUUGAGAAUAAGUUGGAAGACAGAAAUAAGUGAAUUAUAGACACAGAUAUAUAUUUUUGAGUAACUAGAAAUAGUGAGAAAUAAAGAGAGUCUUGCCUAAGACAGUGGUAGUGGAAAGAAAACAGCAGCAAGACUUAAGAGAUAGUCAAGAAAUAUUCAAUAGAAUCUGGUGAUGACUGAUGUGAGGUGUGAGAGAGACUUCAAGUUCUCUGGUCCAUGGAGAAGGAAGCAUGUUGAAUCUGAGGGGCCAGUAGACAUCUACAUAGC